rnacentral:rRNA from 1 species
AAAAAAGGUAAGCUACUAAGAGCGAAUGGUGGAUGCCUUGACUGGUAAAGGCGAUGAAGGACGUACUAGACUGCGAUAAGCUACGGGGAGCUGUCAAGAAGCUUUGAUCCGUAGAUUUCCGAAUGGGGCAACCCAAUGUAUAGAGAUAUACAUUACCUAUAUAGGAGCGAACGAGGGGAAUUGAAACAUCUUAGUACCCUCAGGAAAAGAAAUCAAUAGAGAUUGCGUCAGUAGCGGCGAGCGAAAGCGCAAGAGGGCAAACCCAGUGCUUGCACUGGGGGUUGUAGGACUGCAAUGUGCAAGAGGUGAGUUUAGCAGAACAUUCUGGAAAGUAUAGCCAUAGAGGGUGAUAGUCCCGUAUGCGAAAAACAAACCUUAGCUAGCAGUAUCCUGAGUAGGGCGGGACACGAGAAAUCCUGUCUGAAGCUGGGUCGACCACGAUCCAACCCUAAAUACUAAUACCAGAUCGAUAGUGCACAAGUACCGUGAGGGAAAGGUGAAAAGAACUGAGGUGAUCAGAGUGAAAUAGAACCUGAAACCAUUUGCUUACAAUCAUUCAGAGCCCUAUGUAGCAAUACAGGGUGAUGGACUGCCUUUUGCAUAAUGAGCCUGCGAGUUGUGGUGUCUGGCAAGGUUAAGCAAACGCGAAGCCGUAGCGAAAGCGAGUCUGAAUAGGGCGCUUAGUCAGAUGCUGCAGACCCGAAACGAAGUGAUCUAUCCAUGAGCAAGUUGAAGCUAGUGUAAGAACUAGUGGAGGACUGAACCCAUAGGCGUUGAAAAGCCCCGGGAUGACUUGUGGAUAGGGGUGAAAGGCCAAUCAAACUUCGUGAUAGCUGGUUCUCUCCGAAAUAUAUUUAGGUAUAGCGUUGUGUCGUAAUAUAAGGGGGUAGAGCACUGAAUGGGCUAGGGCAUACACCAAUGUACCAAACCCUAUCAAACUCCGAAUACCUUAUAUGUAAUCACAGCAGUCAGGCGGCGAGUGAUAAAAUCCGUCGUCAAGAGGGAAACAACCCAGACUACCAGCUAAGGUCCCUAAAUCUUACUUAAGUGGAAAACGAUGUGAAGUUACUUAAACAACCAGGAGGUUGGCUUAGAAGCAGCCAUCCUUUAAAGAAAGCGUAAUAGCUCACUGGUCUAGUGAUUUUGCGCGGAAAAUAUAACGGGGCUAAAGUAAGUACCGAAGCUGUAGACUUGCGCACAACUUAGAUUAUUUAAGUUUAGAAUAUGAGAAACUAAGUUAUAUGUUUAGUUAUAUUUUUACUGAUUUUUAUAGAGUAAAGAUAGAAAUAAAACUUAGUAAAAUCAGUAAAAAUAUUCUUAGACUAAAGUUAAGUAGUUUAAGUUGUGUGCAAGUGGUAGGAGAGCGUUCUAUUUGCGUCGAAGGUAUACCGGUAAGGAGUGCUGGAGCGAAUAGAAGUGAGCAUGCAGGCAUGAGUAGCGAUAAUUAAUGUGAGAAUCAUUAACGCCGUAAACCCAAGGUUUCCUACGCGAUGCUCGUCAUCGUAGGGUUAGUCGGGUCCUAAGUCGAGUCCGAAAGGGGUAGACGAUGGCAAAUUGGUUAAUAUUCCAAUACCAACAUUAGUGUGCGAUGGAAGGACGCUUAGGGCUAAGGGGGCUAGCGGAUGGAAGUGCUAGUCUAAGGUCGUAGGAGGUUAUACAGGCAAAUCC